GAGUUCUGGCUCAUCAUGAUCUUCUUCACUGUAUUGCUGUUUACAUCACUUAACGGUAAAAGUUUUGCAGAUGUGAUCACUUCAAGAAGAGAUCAUGUGUUCGCCACUGUCGGUGACAGAGUUACUCUUUCUUGUAACAUCAGUGGUUAUGUGUCAAGUCUUCAUUGGUAUCGUCAGUAUUUGGGUUCAGUCCCUCAGUUCCUCAUACUGGACUACUCAGGGAGUGUAGUGACGGCUAAACCUCCCAUCCAAGGGAUUUCCAUUAAACACAGGAAAGAAGCUCAGGAGGUGGAUCUGGAGAUCUCAUCUGUUAAAGUCACAGACUCUGCUCUGUAUUACUGCGCCCUGCAGCACAGUGACAGAAAACACAACAACACUGUACAAAAACCUGCCCAAAAUUUUUUAAACAACAAUAUGCAGUACAAAUUUACUUUACAUCGUACAUUACAUUUAAUGUUGAUGUUUUUUUCACAUUUUAGAAAAUAAAACAUAAAAACAACAAAAUAUCAGUGUCAAUUACAAUGCAAAAAUGAUAUAAAAAAUGUUUAAUCUGUCAAUUAAGAUCA